CGCGCUUUAUAUCGGGUGGGAGGCGGGAGAGCGGGGAGGGGGACCAGCAUCACUCCAGCCUCCAGCCAACCAAAAGCUGCUCAGACGGCGCCCGUGAAGAUGAGAGCUUAGAGCAUCUUUCCCUGGAGAGAUGAGCCAUGCCAGGAGAGUGGCAGCACAAAGCCAUCUGGGCAGGAGAAAGGCUCCUCUCAAGCUGCCUUUGGGAGCAGGAGCAUGAGGAUCUCUGGAUGGGAGACUGAGAGGAGCAUGAGGCACCUCAGCCCCACCGAGCAGUAGAGUCCUGUCUUUCUCUCAUCACUUACAAGAAGCCACAGAAUGGUCUUGCUCAUGGACAGACAGGAAGGAUGCAUCAGGACUAAUGACUGAACACACACUUUUACUUCUUCAUGUAAGAGCAGCCUCUUUCCUGAUGGCUCUGGGGAUUUUCACUCAAAUAAUCAUGUUUAAGCCUUCUUGGUUAGCAGAUAUUCAACUACAGAUAAAUGGCUGGAGUUACACAAAGCUCUAAUUCAAGUCUUCUCUGUGCCUUAAAACAAAAAUUAGAGCUGUGAUCCUUGCUGUGGAUUCCAGAAAAGAAAUGGAAGACUUGAGGAGAGAGGGCUGGAAGGUUGCCUUUGCCUGUACAGCUGCUGAGAAUGUCUGUGCACACCCAAGAAUGUCUGUGCACACCCACAGCGUGUGUGCUUGGCAUCACUUUUGGAAGUGCCACACCAGCCUGGAGCUCCACCCCAGUUCAGCACCACGCUGGGAGCACUGGUGUCACAGCAGCAGUGGCACGUGGGGGUGGGCACAGGCUGCUGGCACCCACACUCAGCUGUUCCACAGAGUCAGGGCUGGAAAGGAGAUCUGGAGAUCAUGCCAAAGCAGCUUGGCACUCACCUCCCUGCUGCAGCAGGUGACCAGAGGGUUUAGGGAGGCAAUGCCCCUUCUCCUCGUCCCCUCCCUGGUUAUUCCACACAAAUGCUGUGGAAAUGUUCACCUCUGUCCCUUUCCCCUCUAGCACUGCAGCCCAUCCUUCCUGCUGCAGAUCUGCAAAGUCACAGGGUGCUCUGGUAACUCUCCCUGGUGUUUGAGGCACGCUCUGAGCAGGUCAUGCCAGGAGGAAAACCUCCAGGAGCCUGGCCACGUGUGGCAGGCACACGGGACAGAUGAUUCCUGGCUGCCACUCAGGAGCCUGGCACAGCCACCGUGCUGGGAACCACGUGCUGCCUGGAGCAGCCAGGCAAAUGUAACUAUGGCAAAAACACAGCUGGGAUGGCAGCAACUGCAACUGGUGAGGAGCCUGGGGCGUGUGAGCCAGAGCAGAGAAACUCUGCACAUCUCUGCCCUGAGACUGCAGCCUGCUGAGCCCCCCUCUUUGCUCCAGGCCCUGUUUGCCUGCUGCUUUUCCCCAGAGAAAUAAAGUGCAUUGCACAA